UACUACUAGUAGAAUGCUUUUAUGAUACCAUUUUGGGGAUAUAUUGCUUCCUUGUGAUGCUCUUUUGGGUUAUUUUUAGAUCCUAUGAAGGGUGCUGGAGUUUGACGGGGAAAGAACUGAUGGAGAAGGGGGAAAGGGUUUGAUCUUUGGGGCUUUAUUUCACCUUGAUGGGUGAGUACCCUUUUUGUUUUUUUUAAUGGGGAAUUGUUGAUAUGGGUAGAUUUUGGAAUUGGUGCAAAAGAUUUGGGGCGUUUUAGGAGCUAGAGAGUAUCGGAUUAUGUUGUUGUAUUUGCUCGAUUGGAUCCUGAUAGAAGAUUUUUUUCUUGAUGUUGUUGGCGCUACCUAUUAAUGUCUUUGGUUUUCUGUCCUUUUUUUUUUGCUCUUUCUUGUUAGUAUUGAUGAAAUUAGACGGCAAGGUACCCAAUUUAGGAUCUUGCAAAUGGUUUGCUGUGGUCAUCUUUCGUUGUAUUUUGCUCGCGCCCAUUCUUUUCUGGCGUGAUGAAUAGUCUUUAUUAUGAUUACGAUGGUUAUAAUGUUUGAUUCAGGGUCUGCGCGAGGUUAAUUUUUCAGCAACUACUCGAAAGUCGUGCGCCGAGAUGGGUGCGAGCUUUCUAAUUUUAGCAGUAAAUGUUUUGUGGAAAUGACAGGAGUGCAUGGAUUAGCCGAAGGUAUCUGAGUGUUAGGAGAUGUGAUCUAUGAUGCCAAAAAAAAAAAGAAAAAAAAAGAAAAA